UACAGAGGGUGCAAACGUUGUUCGGAUUUACUGGGCGUAAAGCGCAUGUAGGCUGCUUCGCAAGUCGGAUGUGAAAGCCCUGGGCUCAACCCAGGAAGUGCAUUCGAAACUGCAGAGCUGGAGUCCUGGAGAGGAAGGCGGAAUUCUCGGUGUAGAGGUGAAAUUCGUAGAUAUCGAGAGGAACACCUGCGGCGAAGGCGGGUUGCUGGGCUGAUACUGACGCUGAUGCGCGAAAGCCAGGGGAGCGAACGGG
rnacentral:rRNA from 1 species